AUGACCCAACGAAAACAUAUAUUUGACAGUUCUUUCAUAGGAGUUUGUCAUUUCUUGGGGUAGUUUAAUGACCCUGGUGUUAGUGUGACCUUUCCUCUGUACCAUGACCCUAAGAAAACAUAUUUGACAUGGCUUUCCUAGGAGUUGUGGGCAUUUCCAGGGGUAGUUUUAUGACCCUGAUGGUAGUGUGACCCUUCCUCUGUACCGUGAACCUAAAAACACAUAUUUGACAAGGCUUUCAUAGGAGUUGUGGGCAUUUCCUGGGAUAGUUGAAUGACCCUGGUGGUAGUCUGACCCUUCCUCUGUACCAUGACCCUAAGAAAACAUAUAUUUGACAAGGCUUUCAUAGGAGUUGUUGGCAUUUUCAGGGGUAGUUUAAUGACCCUGGUGGUAGUGUGACCCUUCCCCUGUACCAUAAUGCUACAGAAGCACUCAUUAGAACCAAAUUGAUCUCUUUUUUUAGCCUUUGCAAGUAGUUAAUGUUAGAGUCGGAAACAUCUGACAAUCCCAUCUUCUUACAGGCCAAGCAGUGCAGAGGAGAAGGAGGAGGAAGAAGAAGAGGAGGAUGUGAGUUCUAUACAUAAAGGCAGAUCAAUAUAUAGAAGCUUAUGGAGUAGAGGAAAUAUGUCAUUCUAUGUAUUAAAGAGGAUAAGAGGGAGGAGAAGGUUAACUUGUAAAUAUAGGCAGAAGUUUAUGUGCCAAGGAAAAUAUUUAAAUGAUUUGUAUUAUGCAUGUAUUGAAAUGUUAUGAACUUGGAUGUUUGUAUGUAUAAGGCUAUGGGAUUUACUUACAAGGUCUGUGGUGUUUUUUUUUACUUAUAAGGUUGUACUUAGGAUUUUACUUAUAAGUUCUGUGGCUGUGGGUAACUCCUACAAAGCCUUUCUACUAUGGCUAUUAAUUAACCAAAACCUCAUUCUUUCAGCUUGUGUACUGGCUCAGAAAGUAGUGAAAGGGUGCAUGUUAUCGAUGAAGGCUAUAUCAAUAAGUAUGGAAGUGCGUUAUGGCUAUUAACAACAAUCUCUCUUUCAGCAUGUGUACGGGGAUAGAAAGUUACUUGGCAUGUAUUGAAAUGUCAUGCACUGAGAGUAUUUACGUAAAGGGCCGGGGCUAUUUCUUAUAAGCUACCAAGGACAACCUCUGCUGCUCCGGGUAUCAACUCCUGCACUCCUGGGACUGGCAUAACAUCUGCAUGCCCUUGUAACAACUCACUCUGCUUCUGCUAUUCAUAACACCCCGUUCUGCGUCUGCUGUCGUAACAGGGCAUGGCUUCUGUAUACUAACUCCUGCUCGCAUAACCCGCAUGGAUUUACACUUCUAUCUCUGCUUCUGGCUUUCAUACCUAUCAACACAUUCUGCGCCUUCCUUCGUAACUAAUCCCACGGCUUCUCUGCAUGACAACUCCAGCUGCUUACGGCAAAAUUUCGCAUAACAGCUACUCCUGCUUACGUAUGACAAUUCUCUCUGGCUUCCAUAACAGCACGUAUGGCUUUUGCAUGUGAACGCAUUUCAUUUCUGCUGCACACUAACCCACACUGCUGGCUUGAGUAUCCUAACGACCUAACCCAUUCUGUAAGCUGCCGCCCAGUGCUCCAGGUGACCCCUAACAAGCCUGUCGGAUCGGCGUCUAGCGAGGGAGGUUCCGUCAGGUUCCGUUCCCUGCUAGAGCUGUCUCCCUUCACCUUAAAAAAAAUAGUUUGACAUAAUUUGAGAGCAGCAGUACAGGCCAGGUAUCAGAGAGGGGUUCAGGCCUAUAUGGGGACACCUCUGUUAGGCUUGUACCUCAAUAAAUAACUAGAAAAAAGUUGGAAAGUGUUAAACAAUGACCAUACGUAACCUAGUCAUGUGUGAAUCCUGACUAUGGAGGGAGAUUAUCCUCAAACACGUACGGUUAUAUAUAUACAUGUCUUUUACCCACCCAUGCGUGCAGUACGGGUGGUGAACUCUGACCUCUAUGAAAUAAAUAUACGUAACAGGAAAAAAA